CCUACGGGUGGCAGCAGUGAGGAAUAUUGGUCAAUGGGCGCGAGCCUGAACCAGCCAAGUAGCGUGAAGGAUGACUGCCCUACGGGUUGUAAACUUCUUUUAUAAGGGAAUAAAGUGAGGCACGUGUGCCUUUUUGUAUGUACUUUAUGAAUACUGAUCGGCUAACGCCGUGCAAGCAGCCGCGGUAAUCCGGAGGAUCCGAGCGUUAUCCGGAUUUAUUGGGUUUAAAGGGAGCGUAGAUGGGUUGUUAAGUCAGGUGUGAAAGGUUGCGGCUCAACCGUAAAAUGGCAAUUGAUACUGGCAGUCUAGAGUACAGUUGAGGUAGGCGGAAUUCGUGGUGUAGCAGUGAAAUGCGUAGAUAUCACGAAGAACUCCGAUUGCGAAGGCAGCUUACUAAACUGCAACUGACAUUGAGGCUCGAAAGUGUGGGUAUCAAACAGGAUUAGAUACCCGUGUAGUC
rnacentral:rRNA from 1 species